rnacentral:lncRNA from 1 species
GUGUGGAUGCGUGUGUGCAUUGGUGCAGGUGCUUCACCUUUUCAUUGAGGCCUAAAAUACACAAAGCGAACACGUAAUCCGUGUCCUCAGAUCCAGAAACAACACGAGCAGCCCCGGUGUCCCCGUGCCACCUCCCUGGCACUGCUUUCCUGCGGACAGUCACGACCUUCAUUUCUGAUAGGAUAGAACGGCUGUGCCUGGGCUGGGACUUCAUGAAGAUGGCCUGCCACAAGCUCUCUGCUGCCACCGCCAGGUGUGAUGACCUUCGGCUGCAGACUGGGGACACUGAGAGCAGCACCGUGACUCCACGCAGUGUCACACAGGGUCUGAGGCAGCCUGUGUGGGGGCCCCUUCCCCGGCGAGGCCUGCUGGCUGUCCCAGCUUUUCUUCCCUGAGCAGAGGCUGCUGUGGCUGUGUGUAGCCCCCAGCCCCUGGGACCCUGGUGCCCACGGGGCAGACUUCCCACCGCCAGCACCCGGGUUGCCGGGCCCAGGAGCCCCCUUGGCAGGUGGGAAACGCUGGAAUGUGACAUCCCUGGAGCAGCCUUCGC